UAGGCCAUGUGCUCAGAGCUUGAAGAUUGCUUGGAGACACAAGGCAUGUUAUUAAAACUUGCCUGGACUACAUCUUCAACACAUGAAACUAUUAGUAGCUCAUAACUGUAUACUGUGUACAUCAAAUGAUAUAUGCAUGUAUGUAUGUGUGUGUAUAUGUAUAUAUACUUAUGUGGAUG